rnacentral:rRNA from 1 species
UUGCUCCCAGGCGUCGAGUGGCGGACGGGUGAGUAAUACUUAGGAAUCUGCCCAGUAGUGGGGGACAACUCGAGGAAACUCGAGCUAAUACCGCAUACGCCCUACGGGGGAAAGCGGAGGACUCUUCGGAGCUUCGCGCUAUUGGAUGAGCCUAAGUCGGAUUAGCUUGUUGGUGAGGUAAAAGCUCACCAAGGCGACGAUCCGUAGCUGGUCUGAGAGGACGACCAGCCACACUGGGACUGAGACACGGCCCAGACUCCUACGGGAGGCAGCAGUGGGGAAUAUUGGACAAUGGGCGCAAGCCUGAUCCAGCAAUGCCGCGUGUGUGAAGAAGGCCUGCGGGUUGUAAAGCACUUUCAGUAGAGAAGAAAAGCCCAGGGUUAAUACCCCUGGGUCUUGACGUUACCUACAGAAGAAGCUCCGGCUAACUCCGUGCCAGCAGCCGCGGUAAUACGGAGGGAGCGAGCGUUAAUCGGAAUUACUGGGCGUAAAGCGCGCGUAGGCGGCUUUGUAAGUCGGAUGUGAAAGCCCUGGGCUCAACCUG